AGUAGAGUCAGCUAAAUAAGCUCUUGGGCCCAUACCCCAAAAAUGUCGGUUAAAACCCCCCCUUUACUA
rnacentral:tRNA from 1 species